CCUACGGGAGGCAGCAGUGAGGAAUAUUGGUCAAUGGACGCAAGUCUGAACCAGCCAUGCCGCGUGCAGGAGGACGGCUCUAUGAGUUGUAAACUGCUUUUGUACGAGGGCAAACACAGAUACGCGUAUCUGUCUGAAAGUAUCGUACGAAUAAGGAUCGGCUAACUCCGUGCCAGCAGCCGCGGUAAUACGGAGGAUUCAAGCGUUAUCCGGAUUUAUUGGGUUUUAAGGGUGCGUAGGCGGUCGGAUAAGUUAGAGGUGAAAUCCCGAGGCUCAACUUCGGAAUUGACUCUGAUACUGUUCGGCGAGAGAGUAGGUGCGGUAGGCGGAAUGUAUGGUGUAGCGGUGAAAUGCUUAGAGAUCAUACAGAACACCGAUUGCGAAGGCAGCUUACCAAGCUACUUCUGACGUUGAGGCACGAAAGCGUGGGGAGCAAACAGGAUUAGAUACCCUGGUAGUC
rnacentral:rRNA from 1 species